rnacentral:tRNA from 1 species
AAAGAAAAAAUAUCUAGUGAAGCAGGGCUGCUAACUUUGCUUUGGGUGGUUAGAGUCAUCCUUUUUCUU